UACAUGUUCAUGUGGAUCUGGGCGCCC
rnacentral:piRNA from 1 species